AGAGUUUGAUCAUGGCUCAGGACGAACGCUGGCGGCGUGCUUAAUACAUGCAAGUCGGGCGAGGUUACUGUUUCGGAUCCCUUCGGGGUGAAGAAGCUUUAACCUAGCGGCGGACGGGUGAGUAACACGUGGGUGACCUACCCGGGAGACCGGGAUAACAGCUCGAAAGGGCUGCUAAUACCGGAUGACAUCACAGGAUCGAAGUUUUGUGAUCAAAGCGAUUUAGCGCUCCUGGAUGGGCCCGCGUCCCAUUAGCUAGUUGGCAGGGUAACGGCCUACCAAGGCGACGAUGGGUAGCCGGUCUGAGAGGAUGUCCGGCCACACUGGGACUGAGACACGGCCCAGACUCCUACGGGAGGCAGCAGUGGGGAAUUUUGCGCAAUGGGGGGAACCCUGACGCAGCGACGCCGCGUGGGUGAUGAAGGCCUUCGGGUCGUAAAGCCCUGUCUGGGGGGAAGAUAGUGACGGUACCCCCGGAGGAAGCCCCGGCUAACUACGUGCCAGCAGCCGCGGUAAGACGUGGGGGGCAAGCGUUGUCCGGAAUUACUGGGCGUAAAGGGCGUGUAGGCGGCCUGCCAAGUCAGCUGUGAAAUUCCCCGGCUCAACCGGGGGACUGCAGUUGAAACUGGCGGGCUUGAGUGCAGGAGAGGAGGGUGGAAUUCCUGGUGUAGCGGUGAAAUGCGUAGAUAUCAGGAGGAACACCGGUGGCGAAGGCGACCUUCUGGCCUGUUACUGACGCUGAGGCGCGAAAGCUAGGGGAGCAAACAGGAUUAGAUACCCUGGUAGUCCUAGCCGUAAACGCUGGGUACUAGGUGUAGGAGGUUUCAAUACCUUCUGUGCCGCAGUUAACGCAUUAAGUACCCCGCCUGGGGAGUACGGUCGCAAGGUUGAAACUCAAAGGAAUUGACGGGGGCCCGCACAAGCGGUGGAGCAUGUGGUUUAAUUCGAAGCAACGCGAAGAACCUUACCAGGGCUUGACAUCUACCGGAAGACCUGUGGAAACACGGGUUGUCCUUCGGGACUGGUAGACAGGUGGUGCAUGGUUGUCGUCAGCUCGUGUCGUGAGAUGUUGGGUUAAGUCCCGCAACGAGCGCAACCCCUAUUCUUAGUUGCCAGCACGUCAUGGUGGGCACUCUAAGAAGACUGCCGGUGACAAACCGGAGGAAGGUGGGGACGACGUCAAAUCAUCAUGCCCUUUAUGUCCUGGGCUACACACGUGCUACAAUGGCCUGAACAGCGGGUUGCGAUGCUGUGAGGCGGAGCCAAUCCCUUAAAUCAGGUCUCAGUUCGGAUUGUAGGCUGCAACUCGCCUACAUGAAGGCGGAAUCGCUAGUAAUCGCGAAUCAGAACGUCGCGGUGAAUACGUUCCCGGGCCUUGUACACACCGCCCGUCACACCACGAAAGCCGGCAACACCCAAAGUCGGUGGGCUAACCCAGCACUCAACUUAGGGAAGCAGAUUCGGUUAAUACGAGUUGACUUUUACUCUCGAAAGUUAGCCGAACGGAUAAGACCUGCUUCUUUGAGUUGAGUGCUGGGAGGCAGCCGCCUAAGGUGGGGCUGGUGAUUGGGGUGAAGUCGUAACAAGGUAGCC
rnacentral:rRNA from 1 species